UACGAACUGUGCGAACGUUAUUCGGAAUCACUGGGCUUACAGGGUGCGUAGGCGGCCGAACAAGUCAGGUGUGAAAGCCCUCGGCUCAACCGAGGAACUGCGCUUGGAACUGUUUGGCUCGAGUCAACUAGAGGUGCACGGAACUUCCAGUGGAGCGGUGAAAUGUGUUGAUAUUGGAAGGAACACCGGAGGGCGAAAGCGGUGCACUGGGGGUUGGUCUGACGCUGAGGCACGAAAGCCCAGGGGGAGCGAACGGGG
rnacentral:rRNA from 1 species